rnacentral:rRNA from 1 species
UACAGGGGGUGCAAACGUUGCUCGGAAUCAUUGGGCGUAAAGCGCACGUAGGCGGUCUGUUAUGUCGGAUGUGAAAGCCCUCGGCUCAACUGAGGAAGUGCAUCCGAAACUGGCAGGCUAGAGUACUAAAGAGGGUCGCGGAAUUCCCGGUGUAGAGGUGAAAUUCGUAGACAUCGGGAGGAACACCGGUGGCGAAGGCGGCGACCUGGGUAGAUACUGACGCUGAGGUGCGAAAGCGUGGGGAGCAAACAGG